CCGCACACAUCACCCCAAACCACCGCCUCGUGCGGCGCCUCGGCGACCGCAGAAGCGUAACGGCGGGGGUUAGACGCGGGGCGACCUAGAGAAAAUACACUUCCGAGCGCAGAACUGUAGCCGCAGGCUAUCACAGAGAGAACAUGUAGAGAGGCUGCUAAACGAACCUCUCAUGAGUGCCUCCCCGUGAUAAACCCGUUAUACGGCUCUUACCUUACGUUGACUCAUCGCGUCCGCGAAGAGGAGUUGAACACUGCUCGAAGAAAAAACCGCUGAGAACGCGAGAUGGUUUCCUUAGGGCACAGAUGAUUCGCUUUCCUGAAGGAAAUGAAAUCUGAGCGAAAUAGCGCGCGGCACUCAGGUAUACCAUGCGUACGCAUGCGUAAGGCGGUGCCAAGCGCUAUUUGGCCAAUAAAAUUGGCGGGAUGGUAUAGGGCUUCAGACAUUCGUCACACCGAAAGGUGUUCCCAUACGGUGACGUCACCGCAGCAUCGAAGUGACCUAUGAAAGGGAACUCUGUCACCUCGCCUUCAUGUUUCUUACCAUAUUGUGAAAACUAAAGCAAAACAUAACACUACACUUAAAAAAAUACAAUAAAAUAAAAUAAAAUAAAUUCAGUUAUCACAUCAAAACAUAAUGCUGAACAGUUUCAUUCGUUCAUUUUAAUUAAAUAAAAUCUGAUUCGAAGUAACAUUUCCUCAUUUAUCUCAGAACAAUAUAAAUUGAAAUCAACACAGAGUGUCGAUAUUAUUUUAUUAUGAUCUCACAGUAUAAACAACAGCUUAGUCUGUAGAGAUAAUAACGUUCUGUCUCCAAAAAUAUCGGCAAUGAGUUUCUGCGAAGCGGAAACGUCACCGCGUUUCGUCUCGCUGUGUUUUUUGUCCCUCUGCGCACUCCUUACAUGUCAAUGUGGCUGUGUUGUUCUCAUGAUGUGUGCACUCCACAUCGAAAUAUUAGUUAGUAAAAAGAAAGAAUAAUAAUGGGAGAUGAGCAUCCAGUUAACAACACUAGCAGCCCCCGUUGUACUUCCUUCAACGUACCCGAUGAUUAUCGAUGUGAUGUGAUUCUUAACGUGAAAAGAGCCACAGGGACAUUUUCACUAGUGGCAUGCCUUUUCAUGCUGUUUGCAAUAUGGCUGCUCCGCCGAUAUAACUCUUUGGCUCAGAAAAUGAUAUUCAGUCUGACAAUAGCUGCAGCCUUUGACAGUGUUGCUUAUGUUAUGGGAGAGUCUCAUCUAGAGGGGUCUCUGUGUAAUUUUCAAGCCUGGUGGCUCACAUAUUUUGACUGGACCGCACUGAUGUGGGUUUGUCUUAUUACAUUUAAUCUGUACCUGAACCUGGUGAGAGAAAUCAGAACUGAACAUUAUGAAAUACCGUAUCAUUUGGUGGCAUGGGGGGUUCCUCUGCUCAUGUCCACCCUCCCCCUGAUGGCUGGAUACUACGGCCCCUCUGGAGCCUGGUGUUGGAUCACAGAUAAGCAUGUCAGGUGGAGGUUUGGCAUAUGGUACAUUCCUCUGUUUAGCCUGAUUAUCCUCAUGACCUGCUGCUAUGCUCGAAUCAUCUGUGUGGCCAACGAGAGGAUGCGUUCCUGGUUGGGCACCUUUAACCCAGAAAGAGAGAGGAGGAAGAUCUCUCUAGCUGAAGAGAUCAGACCGUUGAAGUGGUAUCCCUCUGUCUAUCUGCUCGUCUCUAUCUUCCCCCUCAUAAAUCGACUUCAUAAUGCUGCUUACCCUGAGGACCCUGUGUUUUCUCUGACGUUAUUGCACGUGCUCAGUGCACCCUUGCAUGGGCUUGCAAAUGCUCUUGUCUUCGGUAAGGACACCUGGAGUCAGCUGAGUACAACAGGAAUAAAGAUGGCUAUCCAGUCUCGGCUGUGUGACAGCACAAUGAUCGGAGAGUACCAUGCUGCAAAUGUAAGAUACACACAUGACCUCAAUACACACUCCGAUUCCGACGAUGAGGACAACAACAUCCUAUUUUACAGCCCGGACAUGAUCUUAAAAGAUAGGGGACCCUGGGAGAAUGUUUAG
ensembl:lncRNA